CUCCAGUAGGAGGGUUCAGAUUCCGGAACUAAUUAUAAUAACUCCGUUGUUUGGUUUUUUUUAGAAAUAGUAAUGAAUAUGUAUUAGUCUAGGAGCAUAAAAAAUCAGCAUCUUGAUGUAACGGGUGUGCGACCAGGUGGAGCGGAGACUCCCGGCGCACCCAGCGCUGUUUGCCAGCGCUGUUUGCUUACCUCUAUUCUUUUAAUAAAUUGUAAACUUUGAUUAUAAUCCUAUUUUGGGACUGAGCUAUUUAUAACAACUUGGGGGCUCGUCCGGGAUGGUUUUGGUUCCUGGAUUUUAAUCUAGGAGAGGCGCCCCCACCAUUUGGUGGCUCCUGUCCGGAACCAAUGCCAUCUUGAACCUGAAUAAAGGUAAGCAAAGAUUUUGAUUUUGUUAUGAGCUCCCUUGCCGGCUGCAGCAUUGUUUUUGCCCGUAAUUCUGCGCGCGAAGAUCCGAACGAAGACGACGGAGUCGUAAGCAUUUAAGGCGUGUACCGUUCGGUUGGGUGGGAUUCGGUUGCCUGUGUGUGUGUAAGAGUGUGACUGAGACGGAACGUAGUUCCGAAGCGAGUGCGGAGGUCUUCUAACCGAUAAGCAAAUACUGGGACGUUUGCAUGCACAAACACAUUGGGGUACAAAGGUGUUAAGUGAUCAUUUACUAAAACAAUUUGGUUGCAUUGUUUGUUUUUGAAAUAGCAAAGCAAAUUACACCACGUUGCUUAACUUGUCAGAAGAUAAAUAAGAAAGUGUUUUGACAAGCAGCCACGGGAGGGAGAAAAACAGCUUAUAGGCCUUUCGAGAGGGUACAAGUUGGUUUCACUGAAUUGCCCCAGGAGCUGGAUCACCCCGACAGGCUGAACUGAAUGGUAACACAAGCCCCAAUCGACCCUGAAAGCGGGCCCAACCCCUUGAUUGAAGGCGUCUUGCCUAUUAUGAUCUGUGAGGAAUGUUUUAACAAUUCGUGUCAAUGGAGAGCUUGAAGGAAAAUGUAU